GAUGAACGCUGGCGGCGUGCCUAAUACAUGCAAGUCGAGCGAACGGACGAGAAGCUUACUUCUCUGAUGUUAGCGGCGGACGGGUGAGUAACACGUGGAUAACCUACCUAUAAGACUGGGAUAACUUCGGGAAACCGUAGCUAAUACCGGAUAAUAUUUUGAACCGCAUGGUUCAAAAGUGAAAGACGGUCUUGCUGUCACUUAUAGAUGGAUCCGCGCUGCAUUAGCUAGUUGGUAAGGUAACGGCUUACCAAGGCAACGAUGCAUAGCCGACCUGAGAGGGUGAUAGGCCACACUGGAACUGAGACACGGUCCAGACUCCUACGGGAGGCAACAGUAGGGAAUCUUCCGCAAUGGGCGAAAGCCUGACGGAGCAACGCCGCGUGAGUGAUGAAGGUCUUCGGAUCGUAAAACUCUGUUAUUAGGGAAGAACAUAUGUGUAAGUAACUGUGCACAUCUUGACGGUGGCUAAUCAGAAGGCCACGGCUAAGUACGUG
rnacentral:rRNA from 1 species